rnacentral:rRNA from 1 species
AUUGAACGCUGGCGGCAUGCUUUACACAUGCAAGUCGAACGGCAGCGCGGGCUUCGGCCUGGCGGCGAGUGGCGAACGGGUGAGUAAUGCAUCGGAACGUGCCCAGUAGUGGGGGAUAGCCCGACGAAAGCCGGAUUAAUACCGCAUACGACCUGAGGGUGAAAGCGGGGGACCGAAAGGCCUCGCGCUAUUGGAGCGGCCGAUGUCGGAUUAGCUAGUUGGUGGGGUAAAGGCUUACCAAGGCGACGAUCCGUAGCUGGUCUGAGAGGACGACCAGCCACACUGGGACUGAGACACGGCCCAGACUCCUACGGGAGGCAGCAGUGGGGAAUUUUGGACAAUGGGGGCAACCCUGAUCCAGCCAUGCCGCGUGAGGGAAGAAGGCCUUCGGGUUGUAAAACGCUUUUGUUAGGGAAGAAAUCCUCUGGGCUAAUACCCCGGGGGGAUGACGGUACCGGAAGAAUAAGCACCGGCUAACUACGUG